rnacentral:lncRNA from 1 species
AUCCAAGGGUGAAUUUGACUUUUCAUAUGAUGUGAACAAUUUCAUUAAGAUCAUUAAUUUAAUUGGGUGUAAGUAUAGAUUUUACAAACUGUUGAGUAUAAUUAAGUGUAAUAAAUGUGAACUUCAUGGAGGUUUUCGUAAUAUAUUCUUAUGGUAACUAUGGUAUAGAUUCUACAAAUGAUCCGAUAUGCAACCCUUACAUUUUGGAUCAUGUCUUCUAAAUCAUAUAUAUUUCUAGAUAUUGCGGUCUAGCCUGCAAAGUUAUAUUCCUCUUGUC